rnacentral:rRNA from 1 species
AGAGUUUGAUCCUGGCUCAGGACGAACGCUGGCGGCGUGCUUAACACAUGCAAGUCGAACGGAAAGGCCCUGCUUUUGUGGGGUGCUCUAGUGGCGAACGGGUGAGUAACACGUGAGUAACCUGCCCUUGACUUUGGGAUAACUUCAGGAAACUGGGGCUAAUACCGGAUAGGAGCUCCUGCUGCACGGUGGGGGUUGGAAAGUUUCGGCGGUUGGGGAUGGACUCGCGGCUUAUCAGCUUGUUGGUGGGGUAGUGGCUUACCAAGGCUUUGACGGGUAGCCGGCCUGAGAGGGUGACCGGCCACAUUGGGACUGAGAUACGGCCCAGACUCCUACGGGAGGCAGCAGUGGGGAAUAUUGCACAAUGGGCGGAAGCCUGAUGCAGCAACGCCGCGUGCGGGAUGACGGCCUUCGGGUUGUAAACCGCUUUCGCCUGUGACGAAGCGUGAGUGACGGUAAUGGGUAAAGAAGCACCGGCUAACUACGUGCCAGCAGCCGCGGUAAUAC